GAGAGCUUGCUCUUGGAUUAGUGGCGAACGGGUGAGUAACACGUGAGUAACCUGCCCUUGACUCUGGGAUAAGCACUGGAAACGGUGUCUAAUACCGGAUACGAGCUUCAGCCGCAUGGCUAGGAGUUGGAAAGAAUUUUGGUCAAGGAUGGACUCGCGGCCUAUCAGCUAGUUGGUGAGGUAAUGGCUCACCAAGGCGACGACGGGUAGCCGGCCUGAGAGGGUGACCGGCCACACUGGGACUGAGACACGGCCCAGACUCCUACGGGAGGCAGCAGUGGGGAAUAUUGCACAAUGGGCGAAAGCCUGAUGCAGCAACGCCGCGUGAGGGACGACGGCCUUCGGGUUGUAAACCUCUUUUAGUAGGGAARAAGCGAAAGUGACGGUACCUGCARAAAAAGCACCGGCUAACUACGUGCCAGCAGCCGCGGUAAUACGUAGGGUGCAAGCGUUAUCCGGAAUUAUUGGGCGUAAAGAGCUCGUAGGCGGUUUGUCGCGUCUGCUGUGAAAACUGGAGGCUCAMCCUCCAGCCUGCAGUGGGUACGGGCAGACUAGAGUGCGGUAGGGGAGAUUGGAAUUCCUGGUGUAGCGGUGGAAUGCGCAGAUAUCAGGAGGAACACCAAUGGCGAAGGCAGAUCUCUGGGCCGUAACUGACGCUGAGGAGCGAAAGCAUGGGGAGCGAACAGGAUUAGAUACCCUGGUAGUCCAUGCCGUAAACGUUGGGAACUAGAUGUAGGGACCAUUCCACGGUUUCUGUGUCGCAGCUAACGCAUUAAGUUCCCCGCCUGGGGAGUACGGCCGCAAGGCUAAAACUCAAAGGAAUUGACGGGGGCCCGCACAAGCGGCGGAGCAUGCGGAUUAAUUCGAUGCAACGCGAAGAACCUUACCAAGGCUUGACAUAUACCGGAAAAGUUCAGAAAUGUUCUCCCCGCAAGGUCGGUAUACAGGUGGUGCAUGGUUGUCGUCAGCUCGUGUCGUGAGAUGUUGGGUUAAGUCCCGCAACGAGCGCAACCCUCGUUCUAUGUUGCCAGCACGUAAUGGUGGGAACUCAUAGGAGACUGCCGGGGUCAACUCGGAGGAAGGUGGGGAUGACGUCAAAUCAUCAUGCCCCUUAUGUCUUGGGCUUCACGCAUGCUACAAUGGCCGAUACAAAGGGCUGCAAUACCGUAAGGUGGAGCGAAUCCCAAAAAGUCGGUCUCAGUUCGGAUUGAGGUCUGCAACUCGACCUCAUGAAGUCGGAGUCGCUAGUAAUCGCAGAUCAGCAACGCUGCGGUGAAUACGUUCCCGGGCCUUGUACACACCGCCCGUCAAGUCAUGAAAGUCGGUAACACCCGAAGCCAGUGGC
rnacentral:rRNA from 1 species